rnacentral:lncRNA from 1 species
CAGAGAUGCACAGGUGAAAAAUCACACUGGUUCUCCCAGAAUGCAAGAGAUGGAGUCUCUCUAUGUUGGCCAGGCUGGUCCUGAACUCCUGGCCUCAGGCAGUCUUCCUGCCUUGGCUUUCCAAAGAACUGAGAUUAGAGGCAUAAAUCACCAGGCUCUGGCCCAGCCGCCACAUGACUGAUUUCAUCAGUGGUCUGGGAGCAGGAGUGCGGCGCACCACCUCAGUCAAGCUGGUUAACAUCUAGUGACCUUCCUUCACAUCCCCAACCUUUCCUCAUCUAGCAGAUGGUACAAAGCAGGACAUGACCCUGGGAGAGGUUACAGCCACAUAAUUAAAGGGGCCAGGUGUCUGAAUGACUGCAGAAGAACCCACACCGCCCAGCCAUAUAGGGCUUGAAAUGAGCAAGAAACAACUUUCAUGGUGUACGGAUACUGAAAUUUGGGGACUGUUCGUACAGUCUAGUUUAACUAAUACAACAUCAAUCUUGAGCAGAUGAUCAAAUCUUUUUUUUUUUUUGAGGUAUCAUCUCAUUCUGUCAUCCAAGCUGGAGUGCAGUGGGAUGAUCUUGGCUUACUGCAGCCUCCGCCUCCCG